GAUGAACGCUGGCGGCGUGCCUAAUACAUGCAAGUCGAGCGAACAGACGAGGAGCUUGCUCCUCUGACGUUAGCGGCGGACGGGUGAGUAACGCGUGGAUAACCUACCUAUAAGACUGGGAUAACUUCGGGAAACCGGAGCUAAUACCGGAUAAUAUAUUGAACCGCAUGGUUCAAUAGUGAAAGACGGUUUUGCUGUCACUUAUAGAUGGAUCCGCGCCGCAUUAGCUAGUUGGUAAGGUAACGGCUUACCAAGGCAACGAUGCGUAGCCGACCUGAGAGGGUGAUCGGCCAUACUGGAACUGAGACACGGUCCAGACUCCUACGGGAGGCAGCAGUAGGGAAUCUUCCGCAAUGGGCGAAAGCCUGACGGAGCAACGCCGCGUGAGUGAUGAAGGUCUUCGGAUCGUAAAACUCUGUUAUUAGGGAAGAACAAAUGUGUAAGUAACUAUGCACGUCCUGACGGUACCUAAUCAGAAAGCCACGGCUAACUACGUG
rnacentral:rRNA from 1 species